CCGUCAAUUCAUUUGAGUUUCAUACUUGCGUACGUACUCCCCAGGCGGAUUACUUAUCGCGUUUGCUUGGGCGCUGAGGUUCGACCCCCAACACCUAGUAAUCAUCGUUUACAGCGUGGACUACCAGGGUAUCUAAUCCUGUUUGCUACCCACGCUUUCGCGCUUCAGCGUCAGUAUCUGUCCAGUAAGCUGGCUUCCCCAUCGGCAUUCCUACAAAUAUCUACGAAUUUCACCUCUACACUUGUAGUUCCGCUUACCUCUCCAGUACUCUAGUUAUACAGUUUCCAACGCAAUACAGAGUUGAGCCCUGCAUUUUCACAUCAGACUUAUAUAACCACCUAGACGCGCUUUACGCCCAAUAAAUCCGGAUAACGCUCGUGACAUACGUAUUACCGCGGCG
rnacentral:misc_RNA from 1 species